AGUGGGAUAGCUGGGUCAAAUGGGAGUUCCAUUCCAAAUUUUUCAAGGAAUUUCUGUACUUCUUUCCAGAGCGGUUGCACCAAUUUGCAGCCCCACCAGCAAU
rnacentral:pre_miRNA from 1 species